rnacentral:rRNA from 1 species
UACGGGGGGGGCAGGCGUUGUUCGGAAUUACUGGGCGUAAAGGGCUCGUAGGUGGCCAACUAAGUCAGACGUGAAAUCCCUCGGCUUAACCGGGGAACUGCGUCUGAUACUGGAUGGCUUGAGUUUGGGAGAGGGACGCGGAAUUCCAGGUGUAGCGGUGAAAUGCGUAGAUAUCUGGAGGAACACCGGUGGCGAAGGCGGCGUCCUGGACCAACACUGACACUGAUGAGCGAAAGCCAGGGGAGCAAACGGG